rnacentral:lncRNA from 1 species
CCUGAGAACAGGGAUAUACUUUCUCUAUAUCAACUUUCAUAACUAUCACAGAUGGAACCGUAAUGCUUAGUGAAGUCUUGCAACCUUUACAUAUAGUAUGCUGCAUUAACAUCUGUUUCUAGCUCUCUUGGCAUAUGUGACAUCCUUGGAUGGCUAGGAGCAAAUCCUUACUCAUUUUUGUGUUUAUAGAACAGCAUAGUAGCAAGCAUGGAUACUCAAAGUAUAACUUGCUUCACAAAGGAGAGGCAAUAUAAAAAUAAAAAAAUGCAUCUGUUUUUGAUAAAUUGUCAAUAACGAACAUUUCACUUAAAAUAUUCUGCCUAUGAGUGACAUGAUACCAUCAACUGAUCACAGGCUAAAAAACAGGAUUCUAUAGCUUUUAUAGUUGAGAUAAUUGAAAUAGUCGUUGAUAUUUGUUAAAAAGUCAAUCUCAGAAUGUUUUGAGUUUUGUGGAGUGAAUUUCCUAUAAUUAUUUUGUUUUAUCCUUUUCCUAACACCAAGUUGUCCUUCUAACACCCCAGAAAGCAGUCACUUACAAGUAGAAAAGAGACUCAUAGAAGCAGAGAUAUUACAAAGUAAACAAGACUGACUGUGCCCUCUACUGGAUCCAGUCACUGCAGCUUCCCAGAAGUUACCUGUCUCCUGCUCCCUGGACCUCAACCUCCUGCUCAAAGGAGAAACUGUCUCAGUUUCCCACGGUAUUUAUGCAUGAGAACCCUCUCUUCAUGGCGUUCCUGGACUUUAAAUGUCAGGUGUUAGACAAAAUGACUCUAUUUUUAUUCUGACUACUGUC